AAUUAAGUCAAAAUAAGUCUUGUCAAUGUAAGAAAUAAGCGUGGAAAAAACUAAUUUUUAUAAAUAAUUAAUAAAUUGAUACAUAUUUAAGCUAAUUAAAAUGAAAAGACUCCAAGGAAACUUUGGUACUCGAGAUCCUGAGGAAGAUAGAAAGAGAACUCGUGAAAUGGUGCUUUCUAACCUCUUAUUGUUCGGAGUUUUUAUUGGAGUUAUUCGAACAGCUCCAUUCAUCAUCAAACAAUUUUCAUAGUGAUUUUAAAUGAGGUACUAAGUAAUAUUGAAGGAUUGUUAAUGAUUUGUGUUGAUUUUUUUUUAUUGUUGCAUUGAAUGAAGACAAAGAACUGAAAACUUUGAUACAAUUUAAUUACUUUGUAAUUUUCUAUGUACAUGUAAUAAAUUUUAUUAUGUAAAUUACAUGAAAUUGAAAAACAGGA